AGCAAAAUGAUGAGCUGAUACGCUCUGAAUUUUAUGAGGAAGCAUAUAUAUGUCAGUGGUCUUCAAAGUUCUCUGAUUGCU
rnacentral:snoRNA from 1 species